CAAGGGUUUGGUCCUGGCCCUUCCAUUAGUUAUUAAUAGGAUUACACAUGCAAGCCUCCGCGCCCCGGUGAAAAUGCCCUCUAAAUCAUAACUGACCUAAAGGAGCAGGUAUCAAGCACACAAAAUUGUAGCUCAUAACGCCUUGCUUAGCCACACCCCCACGGGUAACAGCAGUGACAAAAAUUAAGCCAUGAAUGAAAGUUCGACUAAGCCAUAUUAAAUUAGGGUUGGUAAAUUUCGUGCCAGCCACCGCGGCCAUACGAUUAACCCAGACUAAUAGACACACGGCGUAAAGCGUGUCCUAGAAACAGCCCCUCCCUCCACUAAAGUUAAAUCUUAACUAAGCUGUAAAAAGCCACAGUUAACAUGAAAAUACAACACGAAAGUAACUUUAACACCUCAACCACACGAUAGCUAAGACCCAAACUGGGAUUAGAUACCCCACUAUGCUUAGCCCUAAACUCAGAUAGUUAACUUAACAAAUCUAUCCGCCAGAGAACUACUAGCAACAGCUUAAAACUCAAAGGACUUGGCGGUGCUUCACAUCCCUCUAGAGGAGCCUGUUCUAUAAUCGAUAAACCCCGAUAAACCUCACCACCUCUUGCUAAUACAGUCUAUAUACCGCCAUCUUCAGCAAACCCUCAAAAGGAACAACAGUAAGCAAAAGUAUCUUAACAUAAAAAAGUUAGGUCAAGGUGUAACCUAUGAGGUGGAAAGCAAUGGGCUACAUUUUCUACACAAGAACACUUCACGAAAGUUUUUAUGAAACCAAAAACUAAAGGAGGAUUUAGCAGUAAGCUGAGAAUAGAGCGCUCAGCUGAAUCGGGCCAUGAAGCACGCACACACCGCCCGUCACCCUCCUCAAGUAUAUAAACCCAAACAUAACAUAUUAAAAUCACACUCAACACAAGAGGAGACAAGUCGUAACAAGGUAAGCAUACUGGAAAGUGUGCUUGGAUCAAG
rnacentral:ncRNA from 1 species